CACAGGGGUGGCUACCUUUCAAGAGGAACAAGAAAAGAGAGGUGGGAAUAUGGAACCAAGCCAAAGAUUCUGCAGGAUCCUGCACAGGUCUUGCUCUGUCACCCAGGCUGGAGUUCAGUGGCCCAUCCAUAGCUCACUGCAGCCUCGACCUCCUGGGCUUCAAAGUGAUCCUCCUGCCUCAGCCUGCCAAGCAGCUAGGACUGUGGAGGUGUCCAAUAAGCAGCCGAAAGCACAGAGCAGUAGCAUGGGACCGAGCCGUCGGCAUGGAGGUCAGGAUCACGGAGAGGAGGCAGAAAGACCUCCUCCCCGACCUGCAGAUGGGACAAAAUAAUCUGAAGGGAAAAGUGAAGAAGCCACAAGUAGAGGAGAUGGUGAGGUAAGGGACCCCCAACCUCUAAGGAUCAAGCACCAUAUACUGUGAACAUCAUUACACAACAAGC
rnacentral:lncRNA from 1 species